GACGAACGCUGGCGGCGUGCUUAACACAUGCAAGUCGAACGGAAAGGCCCUGCUUUUGUGGGGUGCUCGAGUGGCGAACGGGUGAGUAACACGUGAGUAACCUGCCCUUGACUUUGGGAUAACUUCAGGAAACUGGGGCUAAUACCGGAUAGGAGCUCCGGCUGCAUGGUGGGGGUGGGAAAGUUUCGGCGGUUGGGGAUGGACUCGCGGCUUAUCAGCUUGUUGGUGGGGUAGUGGCUUACCAAGGCUUUGACGGGUAGCCGGCCUGAGAGGGUGACCGGCCACAUUGGGACUGAGAUACGGCCCAGACUCCUACGGGAGGCAGCAGUGGGGAAUAUUGCACAAUGGGCGGAAGCCUGAUGCAGCAACGCCGCGUGCGGGAUGACGGCCUUCGGGUUGUAAACCGCUUUCGCCUGUGACGAAGCGUGAGUGACGGUAAUGGGUAAAGAAGCACCGGCUAACUACGUG
rnacentral:rRNA from 1 species